GUCUCUAUUUUUCUUUAUUUCAGGACGUUUUGGAAAACCUGGAAUCUUGUGAUCUGGACGAUGACGACCUCAUGUUGGAUGAAGAUCUGCCGGAGGAUGACUCCCUGCGCAGCGACGGAGAGGGGUUGGCCCACAUGGCUCAGUGGAGGAUGAGGCAGCUCUGCUGGGGGAACGACAACGAGAGUGAUCUGGAGAGCUACAAGCUAACGGAGGACCCGGGGAACAAGAGGACAGACGGAGACCUCAUCCUGGACUUUUCUUCCUCAAGGUGACUCAAAACAUAUUUAGCAUCAAUCUGCACUGAAACCACAGCUCACUGUUCCAGAUAUUAGUAUUUAUUUAAAGCCAACUGUCGUGUGUUUUCACCAGAUUUAAUAAUAAUUUUCUUUAUAGAUUAUUUCCUGGUAGUUUUUCACUGGAAGUCAAUCCUCUUUAUUUAUUGAUUGAGUUUUUAAAAGGAUUUUUCUCGGUUCCAAUUAACAUUACAUCCUCUCCUCCCAUGUAGAAAUAUGUCGUGGUGUAUUCGGAUCAUUGUAGGUAAAAACAGAUAAUUUCUGGGGUAAUAUUUGGUAACAAAUACCAGAACUUCAGAGAUUUAAAAUAGUAAAGUUUACAAGAAAAUAACCGGAUUAUUCUGUGAUUUUAUA